rnacentral:rRNA from 1 species
GCAGUAGCCGCGGUAAUACAGAGGGUGCGAGCGUUAAUCGGAUUUACUGGGCGUAAAGCGUGCGUAGGCGGCUUCUUAAGUCGGAUGUGAAAUCCCUGAGCUUAACUUAGGAAUUGCUUUCGAUACUGGGAAGCUAGAGUAUGGGAGAGGAUGGUAGAAUUCCAGGUGUAGCGGUGAAAUGCGUAGAGAUCUGGAGGAAUACCGAUGGCGAAGGCAGCCAUCUGGCCUAAUACUGACGCUGAGGUACGAAAGCAUGGGGAGCAAACAGGAUUAGAUACCCGUGUAGUCCCUGUCUCUUAUAC